GACGUAGGGCGCGAGCGUUGUCCGGAUUUAUUGGGCGUAAAGAGCUCGUAGGCGGCUUGGUUAGUUGGGUGUGAAACCUCCAGGCUUAACCUGGAGACGCCACUCAAUACUGCCAUGGCUAGAGUCCGGUAGGGGACCACGGAAUUCCUGGUGUAGCGGUGAAAUGCGCAGAUAUCAGGAGGAACACCGGUGGCGAAGGCGGUGGUCUGGGCCGGCACUGACGCUGAGGAGCGAAAGCGUGGGGAGCGAACAGG
rnacentral:rRNA from 1 species